rnacentral:rRNA from 1 species
GACGAACGCGGCGGCGUGCCUAAUACAUGCAAGUAGAACGCUGAAGGAGGAGCUUGCUUCUCUGGAUGAGUUGCGAACGGGUGAGUAGCGCGUAGGUAACCUGCCUGGUAGCGGGGGAUAACUAUUGGAAACGAUGCUAAUACCGCAUAAGAGUAGAUGUCGCAUGACAUUUGCUUAAAAGGUGCAAUGCAUCACUACCAGAUGGACCUGCCGUUGUAUUAGCUAGUUGGUGAGGUAACGGCUCACCAAGGCAACGAUACAUAGCCGACCUGAGAGGGUGAUCGGCCACACUGGGACUGAGACACGGCCCAGACUCCUACGGGAGGCAGCAGUAGGGAAUCUUCGGCAAUGGGGGGAACCCUGACCGAGCAACGCCGCGUGAGUGAAGAAGGUUUUCGGAUCGUAAAGCUCUGUUGUAAGAGAAGAACCGAGUGUGAGAGUGAAA